GCAGUUGCAUCAGCUCAGUCCAAUAGACCUUUUCACAGGGCAUGGCACUAACAACGUCAUCGCCUACCGGGCGCCGAUUUGGUUCACUUUUGAUGCAUUGGCAUUGGCCUUUGUUAAACGCGUGAGUCUAGAGCCAAAGCAACAAUAUUUCUUUUCGAACUUUAACCGGCGCCUACAGCAAUGCAUUGAAUCAGGUGAGGCCUCAUUAGGACUCGGCUUUUGUGUGUUAUGAACAACCUCUUUCUGAUCUCUUUCGUGACUCUGCCGUGUCAUUUUGAGUGAUGAUGUAACAUCGAGACUUGACAGACGUCAAAUGCGGAUACAAACGUGCAACGUGCGGCGUUUAGGGAAUGACUGACGUGAAGAGAAAGUCUUUAGACAAGUCUGGUGGUACUGAGAGAUAAACUUUAUUGCCAUUUGAAUGACGUUGACUGGUGGUUGCCAAGGGAUACUCUACAUCAAAGUCUACCACAGUCAUUUAGAGAGACUUUCCCAAAAAAGACCUACAUCAUUGAUGCAACAAAACUAUUUACAAAACGUAAUUCAGAUAGAGGUUUGCAAUCAGCUUUCUUCUCCAGAUACAAACACCACCACACUGUGAAAGCAUUGGUUGCAAUAUCGCCACCAUGUGGUCAUGUUAUAUUUGUGUUACAACUAUCUACUGGUGCCAUAACAGACAGGGAACUUACCAAGCAGUCUGAUUUUCUCAUUAAAUUUGUGCCUGGAGAUCAAGUCAUGGCAAACAAAAGGUUUGUUAUUGCUGGCAUUCUCAUGGACGUUGGGCAUCUCUUGUGCAACCUCCUUUUCUAAAAGGAGGACGUCAAUUUACUGAGGAGUAAGUCAUUAAAUGCUGACAAGUGGC